GUUAAGUCAGAUGUGAAAUCCCCGGGCUCAACCUGGGAACUGCAUCUGAUACUGGCAAGCUUGAGUCUCGUAGAGGGGGGUAGAAUUCCAGGUGUAGCGGUGAAAUGCGUAGAGAUCUGGAGGAAUACCGGUGGCGAAGGCGGCCCCCUGGACGAAGACUGACGCUCAGGUGCGAAAGCGUGGGGAGCAAACAGGAUUAGAUACCCUGGUAGUCCACGCCGUAAACGAUGUCGACUUGGAGGUUGUGCCCUUGAGGCGUGGCUUCCGGAGCUAACGCGUUAAGUCGACCGCCUGGGGAGUACGGCCGCAAGGUUAAAACUCAAAUGAAUUGACGGGGGCCCGCACAAGCGGUGGAGCAUGUGGUUUAAUUCGAUGCAACGCGAAGAACCUUACCUGGUCUUGACAUCCACGGAAGUUUUCAGAGAUGAGAAUGUGCCUUCGGGAACCGUGAGACAGGUGCUGCAUGGCUGUCGUCAGCUCGUGUUGUGAAAUGUUGGGUUAAGUCCCGCAACGAGCGCAACCCUUAUCCUUUGUUGCCAGCGGUCCGGCCGGGAACUCAAAGGAGACUGCCAGUGAUAAACUGGAGGAAGGUGGGGAUGACGUCAAGUCAUCAUGGCCCUUACGACCAGGGCUACACACGUGCUACAAUGGCGCAUACAAAGAGAAGCGACCUCGCGAGAGCAAGCGGACCUCAUAAAGUGCGUCGUAGUCCGGAUUGGAGUCUGCAACUCGACUCCAUGAAGUCGGAAUCGCUAGUAAUCGUGGAUCAGAAUGCCACGGUGAAUACGUUCCCGGGCCUUGUACACACCGCCCGUCACACCAUGGGAGUGGGUUGCAAAAGAAGUAGGUAGCUUAACCUUCGGGAGGGCGCUUACCACUUUGUGAUUCAUGACUGGGGUGAAGUCGUAACAAGGUAACCGUAGGGGAACCUGCGGUUGGAUCACCUCCUUACCUUAAAGAAGC
rnacentral:rRNA from 1 species